CCUCAAAUCAGGCGAGGUUACCCGCUGAAUUUAAGCAUAUAACUAAGCGGAGGAAAAGAAACUAACAAGGAUUCCCCCAGUAGCGGCGAGCGAAGCGGGAAGAGCUCAACUUGGAAAUCGGUGGGGUUCCCUCAUCGAAUUGUAGUCUAUAGGUGCGUGCUCGCGCGGGUCCGGGCAUAAAUCCGUUCUUGGAACUGGGUGCCAGAGAGGGUUAGAGCCCCGUCUCAUGGUCCAGGACCUCGUGCUUCACGACCGCGCACCAACGAGUCGGGUUGCUUGGGAGUGCAGCCUUAAUUGGGUGGUAAACUUCAUCUAAAGCUAAAUACUGACGGGAGACCGAUAGUGGACAAGUACCGUGAGGGAAAGAUGGAAAGAACUUUGAAAAGAGAGUGAAAAAGUACUUGAACUUGUUAAGGGGAAAAGCGAUCGAAACCAACCGUGCGGGGGCGUGUUCUAUGCAUCCUUAGCGCAAGCGAGGGGUGUUGCACCACGCGUCUUCGUGGGUCAACAUCGGUUGGGACCGCCGGAGAAUACUUGGAGUGUGAUGGGCUUCCUUCGGGCGGCCUCGCUUCAGGGGACACGGGCGGACCCGACCGAGGUGAAUGGGGGGCGCUUGCACCGGCCUUGUGUCAAGGGGUUCCACGCGCACAGAGACACUUCGGUGUGUCUGGUGGGUGUGCCUCUUGGCGGCAGGGUCCCGGAUCUUGUCCACCCAGGAUGUUGGCGCAAUGGUUUCCAUCGACCCGUCUUGUAACACGGACCAAGGAGUCUAACAAAUAUGCGAGU
rnacentral:rRNA from 1 species